GCUUUUGAGGCUGCAGUCUAAUAACAAUUUGUUCUCGUUCUCCUGCGCACUUGCUUUUUAGUUUGUGGCUCGGAUACGCGGCGGCGAGCACCGACGGACAUCGCCAUGACUCUCCAGCAGCAAAGAGCGUUUCUGUGCCUCUUUCUCUUUCUUCACGCCCGGAACGUGUGGGCCAGAGUGGAGGUGACUAUGAAAGACAAUGUCGAGGUGUACCUGGGCGACUCGGCUGAGAUCGUGUGCCACUAUAACUUCACUGAAGCCAACAGCGUCCCCAGAUUUGUCAUGUUCCAGUGGUUUGUGAAAGACACAGGCAGCAGUUCACGAAUUCGUAUCUACUACGCCGUUGACGACAACAAGAUCGUGGACGAGGGCACGGAGUACAGCGGUCGCAUCCAGGUGACUUUAGAUCAGCACAAAACUCAGCUCACCAUCCAGGAGGUGCAGCUGUCCGACGAGCGGGAGUUCAUCUGCCAGGUGAACGGUCUGUCGGCCGGCACCAUGGAGCGCAAGACUCACCUCAGGGUGUUCGCUCCCCCGGGGUCUCCAGUAAUCAGGGGUGUCCAAACGGGAAUAUCCGUCACCAAUGAGAUGCCCUCUAAGGUGGCAACAUGUGAGGCCCGGAAUGGUUAUCCCAAAUCCAACAUCACCUGGUACAGGAACAACAUGCCUCUGGUGUCUUCAGCAGGACUUGUGAAUGUGUGGACCGGCGACACGGUGGAGUCGAGCGGCUUGUACUCGGUGCAGAGCACGUUGGAGUACCAGGUGGUCAAGGAGGACAAGGACGCUAACUUCUCCUGCGAGGUCAGCUUCUUCGUGCCCGGCGACAUCAUGAUCCUCGAGUCCAGCAGCGUCGGCAUCACCGUUCACUACCCACCCACCAUGGUAGAGCUGUGGAGGGAGUCGCCUCAGGGAUUGGUCAAAGAGGGGGAUACUGUGGAGCUACGUUGCCACGGCGAUGGCAACCCCAUGCCGACCUUCAUCUUCACCAGGAAGGAAGACCCUGACGUGGAGUUCGACAGCCGUGGAAACGUGUUGAUGCUGCAGGCGGUGUCGCGCAGAGACAGCGACGAUUACCUGUGUCGACCCCGGGACACCACUGCACUCAAAGAGGUCAAAGGAGAGAUGCGACUCAAAGUGCACUACCUGGACCCUGCUGUGCUGGUACCCAAAGAAUCUGAGGUCAUGUUAAAAGGGGAAGAUUUGACUGCGUCGUGUAAUGCUUUGUCCUCCGAGAAAACAUCCGUCGUCUGGUACAAGGAUGGCAAGAUGGUGGGUCGAGGAAACAUGCUCCACCUGCAGGACGCCACCUACGAAACGGCGGGAGAGUACGUUUGCGAGGUGACCGUUCCCUCCGUGCCCACCCUGCACACCAGCGGCUCAGUCCACAUCGUCGUCCACGGUGGUCCUCAGCUGGUGGGCGAGGAGCAGGAGGUCCAUCUGGAGGAGGCAGUGGGCAGGAUGGUCAACCUGAGCUGCGAGGCACGUGGCCACCCCGCGCCCAGCAUCACAUGGAUCUUCGUCGAUAGCCAGAGCUGGUUCGAGGUGUUCAGCAAGUCCAGCGACCACAUGACCCACAGCGUGGUGUCCGUCGCCGUCAAAUCGGACAUCAGCGCCAUGUGCAACACCUCCAACGACCUUGGCAUUGACGUCAGAGCUUUCAGCAUCAAAGCCAUUCCCCUGGUCACCACCAGCGCGCCCUUCUCUCCCGUUGCGUAUGGAUUUCUUGUGUGUGUGUGUGUGUGUGUGUGUAACAGAGGGCAGCGGCGUGAUCAUCGUGGUGAUCAUCCUGUGCCUGCUGCUGCUGGCCAUCUUGGGCAGCGUGCUCUACUUCCUGCACAAGAAGGGCAAGAUCCCGUGCGGACGCUCGGGGAAGCAGGACAUCUCCAAAGAGAAGACCGUCAAAGACGACAUCGUGGUGGAGAUGAAGAACAACGCCAACGCCAAGAGUGAGGACACGGUGCUCCUCAAGGCCGUCAACGGAGACAAAAACGGCACAAACGAUCAGUAAAAGUGUGACGGCAUCGGCAGUGGAGCUGCUGAUCUGAUACCAGCAGGGACUCCAAUCAGACGUUAUACACUACCAGUAUUUCCGUACACACACACACACACACGCACACACACACACACACACACACACACACACACACACAAACUUGUCUUUUGAGUGAAUGUCUCGUAAAAGUUCAUCCGUCGUUCUGUUUUCUGUUUGUUACUAUCAUCGCUAGGCCAUCAAAGUGUACAUAUUAUAUAUAUAUUUUGUUAUUUAAGAUAUUUUCACACACACACACACGCUUACACAAACAAAACAACCGUUACAAACUGCUGUCAAGUCCCUUUCACCUUUUCCCCAUAUUGUUUGAAAAUAUGCCAGCGGACUGUUGCCGGGCAGAUUUCAAAGAGGUUAGCGAUCUGCUUUGCCCGUUUUUGUUUUUGAGAUUACUGCUGAAUAUGCAGCAUUUGUUUGUAUGUAUUUUAUUUGUGUUGUGUUGGACCAGUUUUGCUGUAAACAUUUAAUAUUUUUCACAAGCGUGCUCACAUUCAUACAUACAUACGCGUGAGUGGAAAUAAUUACGGUACUUUUGAAGAGAAGAUUUCAGUUUGAUGCAGGCACACUGGCGCCCCCGCCGGGUCCAUUUUGUGAAUAUUGUGGGUUUUUUUUUGUGUGUGAGCAUUUUUUUUUUUUUUUACAUCUUUCCACUGAAGGGCGAUAAUGUCGUGCUCUGCUGUGUUCCAAAAAAACUGCACACCAGGGAAUACAUUGUUUAUAUUUUGUUUGUUUUCCCCUCCCCCAAAACGUUUGUAAAUUAAGUACUGUACAUGUGAUCCUUUGAUGCCUGUGCUUUUUUUUGGUAAUGUUUUUGCAAGAAAAUGAGAAAUAAAAAGGUUUUUCAACAAA